ensembl:lncRNA
GGGAUAAAGAAUUGUGGAAGAGCACUGGACAUUGAGUGAUAUUUUGCCACGCUGGGACUUAAUCUGAAAGAAAAGACUGUAAAGAAACAGAGAAGAAGACAGCAGCUGAGUUGAGACUGUGUUUGCUGGAGCUUUGAAGCCCGAAUAGGACAUUGUGCAGAGAGGACCAGUGAGAGAUGAAGCUGGACGAGUUUGACUGUGAGAAUAUAGGAUAUAAUUGGAUUGAAAAUUGAAGCCUGAACUCAUGAAUUGUUUAGGGAUGUCCACUACAGCAUAACAAAGAGGUAAACAUUAGAAAAGCAGGCCUGGAAGAGAGUGAACUGACGGCGCGGACAAAUUACCAAAGUUGAUGUUCUAUCCAAGAGGGUUUUAAGCUUCACUGGUGAGAGUGUCCAGGUGAUACAUGUUGAGGGAAGAUGAGAACAUAGCAGGUGAAUUGCAUGCACGCUUACAAACACACAUGAUUUAAAUAUAGGCCAGGCCAAAGGCCUGGACUUGAUGCAGCUUUCAACUUUACAGCUCCUAACUUGCAGGAAUGGCGGGGAGUGUAAUGAAUGAAUGCAAAACAUGCUUACAGACACAAACAUGACAGGGGUUUAUUUUACAGGGUAAAGGUGGACCACAGGUUGCUUUGUUUCUGCUUAGCAACUACUGAGGUAAAUGGUGUUAAAGAUAAAUAUGCAAUAAGUGAACAAGAAAUGUGUGAGGGUGAGCCGGGUGAAACAAAAUGUUGUAGAUAAUGGAAACUUGUCUAACGGGCAUUAACAGUAACCUUUGCAUGUUAUGUAUAUGCUUGAGGCCAAAGGAGGCAUAAAUCCAGAUAGAAAACUUUGAAGUGUG